rnacentral:rRNA from 1 species
GAGUUUGAUCAUGGCUCAGAUUGAACGCUGGCGGCAUGCCUUACACAUGCAAGUCGAGCGGCAGCGCGGGGGCAACCCUGGCGGCGAGCGGCGAACGGGUGAGUAAUGCAUCGGAACGUGUCCUCUUGUGGGGGAUAACCAGUCGGAAGACUGGCUAAUACCGCAUGAGAUCGAGAGAUGAAAGCAGGGGACCGCAAGGCCUUGCGCGAGAGGAGCGGCCGAUGCCGGAUUAGCUAGUUGGUGGGGUAAAGGCCUACCAAGGCGACGAUCCGUAGCUGGUCUGAGAGGACGACCAGCCACACUGGGACUGAGACACGGCCCAGACUCCUACGGGAGGCAGCAGUGGGGAAUUUUGGACAAUGGGGGCAACCCUGAUCCAGCCAUGCCGCGUGUGUGAAGAAGGCC